rnacentral:rRNA from 1 species
GAGGAGCCUGCGGCAGAUUAGCUAGUUGGUAGGGUAACGGCUUACCAAGGCGACGAUCUGUAGCCGGCCUGAGAGGGCGGUCGGCCACACUGACACUGACAUACGGGUCAGACUCCUACGGGAGGCAGCAGUCGGGAAUUUUGGGCAAUGGGCGAAAGCCUGACCCAGCAACGCCGCGUGAAGGAUGAAAUCCCUCGGGAUGUAAACUUCGCAAGAAUGGGAAGAAUUAGUAGGGGCUAAUACCCCCUAUGAUGACGGUACCAUUUGUAAGCUCCGGCUAACUCCGUGCCAGCAGCCGCGGUAAUACGGGGGGAGCAAGCGUUGUUCGGAUUUACUGGGCGUAAAGGGCGCGUAGGCGGCCAGCGCAAGUCGGUUGUGAAAUCUCCGGGCUUAACUCGGAAAGGUCAACUGAUACUGCGCGGCUAGAGUGCAGAAGGGGCAACUGGAAUUCUCGGUGUAGCGGUGAAAUGCGUAGAUAUCGAGAGG